CACAUGGGGCAAGCUGAAAAGCCAUGUGUGCUAAAGUGUCACUGUCACUCUCACGCCAGAAUGAGCUGGGAUCCCAGAAUGUGUCCUUGCCAAAGGGGCGAAUCAGCUGCGCCUUCUCCCUGUCCUGUCACAUUCCUGUGGCUGCAUCUGUCCGAGCUCAUCAGGACUGACUCCUGGAAUAGAAACACUCCAGCCUCUGCUGCUUGCCAUUUUAAGUUAAGUUGGACUUGAGGGGGGGUUUUCCACUUUACCGUUUCAUUUCUAACCUAAAACGUAUGAUCAGCAUAGCCAUAUGUGUACAUCGGGAACAAAAAUUUGUCUUAUGGUUCAGUCAACAAUACUUUCUUUUCAUAGGGGGAGUUUCUAUCUUGCCAGUAGGAAUAUUUCUGGGAAUUCAAAGAGUUUAUCUGACUUUUGUGCUACCAACUGAGUUGAAACGGACUGUAUUUCAUCUAAAUGGAUCAGGUACUAAAUGUUUACAUGGUUCCUGAUCAAAAUGAAGAGGGAAUUCUAAACCUUGUGAACCAAACCUAAGAAUGUUACUUUGUCCCUCCUUUCUUUAUAAAAUAGAGAGGAAGAAAAAAAAUACAUUAGGCUUUAGAGACUUAAAAUUAUUAAUAGAAACGACUAGCAGUUUUACUAUUUAAAGGCAUCCCUCUCAUGCAUUUCUAUCCCUAGGCAUUCUCCUAAUCUAUGGCAUUCCUUACAUUUCAAGAAAAUGUUUUCUGGCUCCCAAUUUCCCAUCGGGCACAGGCACAGAACGGUACUGCCCGCUGUAGAUGGCAGUCAGUGAAUUGCUCCGGAGCCGGGAGCACACGGUCACGGCCACCCUCUCGCACCCACACACCCAUACGCACCCUCGAAUCUAGAAGACAGGAAUUGUAGAGCGUGGCCCCAGCUCCUUACCCUCCUGUGCGAAGUGGCGUCCAGACGUGUGAUGGUAAAGACAACCUUUUUCAAAUCCCCUUGGCCAUGUGACUACAUUCUGGCUAAUGAGAUGGCAGCAGAAGCGGGAUGUGGGACUUCUAGGAAGUCUCCUUCCUAGGAGGGAAAGAGGGAAAAAACACAUCUUUCAUUUUGAAAAAGAUGUUCUUAUUCAAGAAAUGGUUUGCGGACCCCUGGUCUAGAAAAUAUGCGAGCAGCUCUGAGAAAAGAGGCCAAGAAGACCGAGAGCCUGAAAUGUCUCAGCACUGCCACAGACCUUUGCUCAUUCACUGUUUCAUUUAGUCCCAACAAGCGAGCAGGAUAAGAGGUAUUUCCCCCAUUUUCACAGGGGCAAAAAAUGUUGUUCUCAAGAUGAGAAGUCAAAGUCUACAUGGCUAGUGAAUGUGGGGCUUGAAUUAAAGUCCAAUCAGUCUGAUGCCAAAGUUCUUUUAUUUCUUUCAACAAUAUUUCUUCCUUCUGGGUAUGCAAUGCCAAAAAAGAAGUCCAGUUUCUGAAUUUAUGUACAGUGAGGUGUGGCUCAAGUUCAAGAACACUAACAGCGGGCAUUCAAGCAAAGGAGGCCAUGAGGAACUGAAGGCAGGGUCCUGGACUAAUGUCAGAAAUAAGGAUUCUGGAAUCUUGGUGAAGCAAGAAGCAAUCAAUAGGAUGUGUGUUCAGAGGCUUGAGGGUGAAAAUAGGCUAGGGGAGGAAACAUUUGGAGUUCUCCUAGGAUCCUCCAGCUUCUAACCAGACUGGGCAUCAGUGUGACCUUCGCAUGCCCAGCCAGUCCAAUGAACCUUCUGUUAGCUUACUAAGGGUGAACUCACAUGUCAGAAAUUAAAUUCCAAUCACUGCAUAACAUGUUUUUGAUCAUAGAUACAUAUUUCCCAAUCACCUGUCUUGAUUUCCCUAUCAGGUAACAAAAAUCAGCUGGAGAAUAUGGAAUGUCUUAUCAGUGGCACUGAGGCCACUGCUGAGAUAGAGCGGCUGCCCUGUCUUGGCCCCUGUGGGGACCCACUCUUUAGUAAAGUCAUUAUGGGUCCAAGCUCUGAAACUGAACUUCAGAGUCCAAAGAACAGUAUUUUCAUCGGUUAAUCUAGUCAUGAUUGGGAUUUAAAGGGCAGAUUCAUACCAAUAAAAGCCAACUAACUGAUGAAUCCUGUUGGAAGUUGAUAGCAGAGUGGAACAGAAUGCUCAUGCCUCAUGACCGACAUCCUCUUGAUCCUCUGGACGUUAUUCUUAUUUUGCAUCCUUCUAUAUUGCAUGUAGGCCCCCUUUGCAUGUUUGCACUGGAUGCUGUUCUGAAAUGCUCUAUGAAUGAGGACCCUGGAGCCAGAUCCAGGAUUUGCAUUCUAGUUUUCUUGGUUUCAAGCCCUAUGACCUGGGCAGCUUACUAUCUCUU